UUAUCUACGUAAUAUUAGUGAUACGUGUACCACUAGUUUGAAGACAAAAUUGUAUCAGUGAGGUUAGAAGCUGAAGUGGGGAAGAGAGCCGGCGAGGGGACCGUUUCGUCAUGCGUAUGAAGCGCGCAUGCUUGUUAUCUCCUCCAAGUGUCGCAUGAAGUUGGGGCCUACCGGUCGAUAGAUCGAUGAUCACUCUGGUCUUUCCGGGCGUCUAGACCAGGGUUGGUGUAGAUCACACGAGUUUCGAAAGUGGAAUUCCGCAUAGCAAAACACGGAACAACUAAAGUCAAACUGACAUUCGGGUACGUAGUAAAACGGUUAGUGCUCGCGGUUAUUGUUCGCGCCUCAAACUGUGGAAUCGGUGAUCCAAAUAUGUCACGGCAAUGCUACGCCUCAAGGUCACGAUUUAGCAUUUGGACUCCAGAUUCUGGAGAAUUAGAGCCAAGUUUCCCAUUUAUCAACCCACACCUAGGAGACGAGUAGUUACAUCUUCAUUUUCUUCUACAGGGACGAGCAAAAGGGUUAAGGACCAACGCCAAGAAGAAGCAGAAGGCUGGUGUCUAUAAGUAGAAGAGGAUGGAAAGCGGAAGAAGGGUUGCUUCGAUGUGGGUGUUGUUUAGACGAGGCGUUGUUCUGGCUCGCAUAGAAUGUGGGUCGGCAUCGGCUUAGUGGCUCUGGUAAGCCUCAUGAAACACGAGUACCCACUGGGAUGUCACCGUUACCUGCUUUAUGGAGAUGGAAGCUUAUGCAUGAAUCGCCAGGAUAAGAAGGAUCCUUCGGUUGCUUGUCUACGCGACGGCUGCAUGCUUGAUGCCCCUCUAAGUAACAGUUCGUCAGGUUUGGGACUCUAGCAAACGUUCCUCCUCUACAUCGAGAGGUCUUUAAACUGGAAGGCUGGCGAAAAGCAGCUGGGUGUAAUAGCGAGGAAGCAGAAGGCCAGAAAGUAAUAUGAACGAAAUAAAAGCUGGUCGUGAUAAACGAGAAAGGAGCCCCGUUCGUGGACAACCGGGCAGAAAAAUGCUCAUCGAGCAAACCGAAGUCGGUUUGCAGCCAGGAAUUAGUCGACGUUUUUCAAGUUUUGAUGGACAACGGUUCAGCGACUUUGGGUCGACUUGAAAUUUUCAACAUCCAUUCGAAAUUCUUUUCCUAAAAGCACACUGUGAAUCUGUCAAGGAAAGAACAUUAAUGUCUCGUUCAGUUUGAUCUUAAUUUUAUUAUCAUGUCACUUUGUUACCGCUUCUAUACAUGUCAAGAUCGAAACAACAAGGGUUUUGAAUAUUUCUAUAAUUUGCUUUACUGAUAAUACAUUGACUAUUUAGGUAAAAUUGGUGAUUAUUGAUUGAUCGAUGGGAAUGAGAAUUUACCAAGUUUCAUUCGCUCAGAAACUCUAAUUAGAUAACUUUAUAAUGGAAGGUAGAUACGAAAGAAGGAAAAGUUUUGGAAAGAAUACCACCAGUUCGAUAUUUUGAGAUAUUUUUAUUUCAAAGUUCAUAGAUUUCAAGUUCCGCGUGUAAUUCUACAAAUUUUUACAAAUUUUCAUUGAUCACAAUUAAAAUCAUCAUGCUAUAAAUGAUUUUUUUAGAGACUAUAAAUGUUUUCAGAUAAUAGAGCAAUCACUUCUCUAUUACUUCGAAUAAACAAAAUUUGUUUUCUUUAAUUGUUCAGUAAUAUUAAAUUCUCUGCGAUAGUAUACUAACGACCAUUACGGCAAUUACCGCGUUGAAUUCAUAAAGUAUAAUUAUUUCACGCGAAUAAAUGUUACUUUAACAUGAACAAAUAUACGAAUCACUUUAGUUUAUACGUAUAUCGAAACAGGUUGUACGGAUACGUGCAAGUUUACCUUAAGCCGGUAACAUGUAAUUCGAAACGAAAACCACUGUAAUUGUAGAGUAUGCGCACGACUGCGCCCCUUUAAAUUGGUGCAAAUGAUCUCUCGUAGUGUGCUUACAAGAACGGGUGUAUUCCUGCUCGAAUAAAUAACGCGCGGUCUAAAGGCAGAAACCGCAACGAGGGAAUUACGAAAAACGGAAAUGAAUGGAAAGCAAGCGGGCAGGCUUGAAGGAAGCGAAAGAUCGAUGAGAUCCCUCCGAAAGGGGGAAGCACUGUUACCCCCUGACUCUUGUAUCUCGAGUGGAUGCCUUUUUUGAAAGACUCCCAGGAAUAUAUUGCCAGUUUCUAGAUGCUCGUUAUACAUCCCGAUGAAAUUAGAAGAAUGAAAUAGCCUUUGGAUACGAAGAAUGUUUCUUUCACGUUAUUCGAUGGAGAUCCGG